UAUAACUCUCUCUAGGGUGAAUUUAACAAUUCACCCCACUUUUUAUAACCAACCAAAGUGUCAUGUAGAACUAACUAAAAAUAAUAAUAAAAUUAAAAAAUAAAUGGCUGGAAAAAAACAACAUGAUGUUAAUGCCGUCUGCGAAACCCGAAACUCUAAAAAUAUAAAAUCUAAACCCUAAACCAAAAACUUAAACAUUAAACCCCAAAUCAUAAACCCUAAAUUCUAAAUCUUAAAAUCUAAACCCAAAUCGUAAACCCUAAACUCAAAACUCUAAACCAUAAACCCUAAAUCUU
rnacentral:lncRNA from 1 species